rnacentral:rRNA from 1 species
UAGAGUUUGAUCCUGGCUCAGAUUGAACGCUGGCGGCAGGCCUAACACAUGCAAGUCGAGCGGAUGAGUGGAGCUUGCUCCAUGAUUCAGCGGCGGACGGGUGAGUAAUGCCUAGGAAUCUGCCUGGUAGUGGGGGACAACGUUUCGAAAGGAACGCUAAUACCGCAUACGUCCUACGGGAGAAAGCAGGGGACCUUCGGGCCUUGCGCUAUCAGAUGAGCCUAGGUCGGAUUAGCUAGUUGGUGGGGUAAAGGCCUACCAAGGCGACGAUCCGUAACUGGUCUGAGAGGAUGAUCAGUCACACUGGAACUGAGACACGGUCCAGACUCCUACGGGAGGCAGCAGUGGGGAAUAUUGGACAAUGGGCGAAAGCCUGAUCCAGCCAUGCCGCGUGUGUGAAGAAGGUCUUCGGAUUGUAAAGCACUUUAAGUUGGGAGGAAGGGCAGUAAGUUAAUACCUUGCUGUUUUGACGUUACCAACAGAAUAAGCACCGGCUAACUUCGUGCCAGCAGCCCCGGUCAA